AUAAAAAUUUUAAAAAGGUGGGGGGCUGGAACUGGCAGAUAUGAGUGGCACUGUGUGUUGUUCAGCUAAACUCUAUGCCCUGUGAACAAUAUAAGCAACAGUCCUGCUAUUUCCACUGAUGAGAGUCCAUUACCUACCAGAUGCCAGGCCCUGUGCUUCCUCCUGCCCUUAAAGUUUUGGCUUGUGGUCAACGAGGAGGGAAACAUGGUUACUGCUCGCCAGGAACCUCGCAUGGUCCUGAUUUCCCUGACCUGUGAUGGUGACACCUUGACUCUCAGUGCAGCCUACACAAAGGACCUACUACUGCCCAUCAAAACGCCCACCACAAAUGCAGUGCACAAGUGCAG
rnacentral:sRNA from 1 species